CAUUUCUGUUCCUUACAUAAAGCCUCUUGCUACCUCCCCUUUCUUCCAGGCCAAAUAGCAUAAAGAAGCAGUGCUAUAUGGAUUUCACAGGCGGUAGUCCUACACUUGAGAAUAUAAACUAUUUUUAAAAUAGAGCAAAUAGCAGGUGAAGAGGCCAUGGUUGGAGAGAGUGGCAGCUGUAGAAACAAAGAACGAUGUGAUCUCUCAAGGCGUUGCUGCUGCUUUCUGUAGUGGUUACAUUAACUGAAGCAUUCAUUGACCAUGGCUGUAACUGAGGUCUUAAUGGAAAAUCUGACCUGGCAAGAGGAGCGUCUUUUCCUGGAACAGAGCACAGGCCUGGAGCAUCGGUGCUGAGGAACAAACAUGGAGAAACCCUGGGCAGCCUGGAAAUGGAAAGUUCCUCAAUCCAUGAGAGAAUUUGUCUCAACAAUAAGCAGGAAAAGUAACUGAGGAAGAAAUUGGACUUCAACCUCUGGC
rnacentral:lncRNA from 1 species